GACGAACGCUGGCGGCGUGCUUAGCACAUGCAAGUCGAACGGAAAGGCCCUGCUUUUGUGGGGUGCUCGAGUGGCGAACGGGUGAGUAACACGUGAGUAACCUGCCCUAGACUUUGGGAUAACUUCAGGAAACUGGGGCUAAUACCGGAUAGGAGCUCCUGCUGCAUGGUGGGGGUUGGAAAGUUUCGGCGGUUGGGGAUGGACUCGCGGCUUAUCAGCUUGUUGGUGGGGUAGUGGCUUACCAAGGCUUUGACGGGUAGCCGGCCUGAGAGGGUGACCGGCCACAUUGGGACUGAGAUACGGCCCAGACUCCUACGGGAGGCAGCAGUGGGGAAUAUUGCACAAUGGGCGGAAGCCUGAUGCAGCAACGCCGCGUGCGGGAUGACGGCCUUCGGGUUGUAAACCGCUUUCGCCUGUGACGAAGCGUGAGUGACGGUAAUGGGUAAAGAAGCACCGGCUAACUACGUG
rnacentral:rRNA from 1 species